UCCUUCGUUUCCAUCUCUGAAGAUGCUGAUGUUACAAGAUAUUGAUCAUCAGUUAGUAAGAUUAGUCGGGAAACCCAGACCUCUAUCAAAAUGCUUUAUUUAGUAAAUAUUAAGGAGCUCAACUACUAUCCUAUAAGCAUACUCCAGGGUAAUUGUAAUCUUCGAAAUCUGAAUAUUGAAGAGUGCAGUAAGUUUCAAGGAUUUCGAGCAGGCAAAGAUCAAGAAAAUGAGAAUGAGGAGGUUACUCUGCUUAGCGCACAACUGCUUAGUGGCUGCUCUCUAGAUGAAUUGGUUUUGGCCGAUUGUCCAGUUCUAAAGUUUCUUCCAGAUUUGCAAGGAUGGACUUCUCUACGGAAAUUAGUCAUUCAGAAUUGCCCCAGAGUGAAGGAGUACUUAACCUAUGAUCUUAAAACCCUCUCCUUUCUUAGAUUAUUGGAUGUUGAUUUCAUUGAAAGAGACGAAGAGCCAUUUAAUAUUUACAAUUCAAUGGAGUUGGCAAUGUCGCAGUUUCUUAGGCAGCGGCGAAAAGACAAAUUAUCAAGUUAGUCUACCAGGGAAUUUUUACCUCAAUUUCAACAACGUCCUGGCGCUGCUCCACCACCACCUCCACCACCUCCACCUCCAGUUAAUGAUGGUGAACCGCAACAACAACAACGGCCUCGACCUGUUAACAAUAUCAAGUUUCCAAACUUCAGUGGUGAAGAUCCGGAUGGAUGGAUUUUCAAUGCCGACCAGUAUUUUAGCGUUUAUAACAAUUCUGAUGCCAUCAAAAUUAUUGUUGCUUGUGCACGUCUCAAAGGUGAGGAAAAUAUUUGGUAUAGAUGGAAAUAAACCAUAGUUCAGGUAACUACAUGGUUGGAAUUCUACAACUUGAUUCGCGCUCGCU